rnacentral:rRNA from 1 species
GACGAACGCUGGCGGCGUGCUUAACACAUGCAAGUCGAACGGAAAGGCCCUGCUUUUGUGGGGUGCUCGAGUGGCGAACGGGUGAGUAACACGUGAGUAACCUGCCCUUGACUUUGGGAUAACUUCAGGAAACUGGGGCUAAUACCGGAUAGGAGCUCCUGCUGCAUGGUGGGGGUUGGAAAGUUUCGGCGGUUGUGGAUGGACUCGCGGCUUAUGAGCUUGUUGGUGGGGUAGUGGCAUACGAAGGCUUUGAGGGGUAGGCGGCCUGAGAGGGGGGACGGCGUCAUUGGGACUGAGAGACGGCGCAGACUCGUACGGGCGGCAGCAGGGGGGAAUAUUGCACAACGGGGGGAAGCCUGAGGCAGCAAUGCCGCGUGCGGGAUGACGGCUUUCGGGUGGUAAACCGCUGUCGCCGGUGACGAAGCGUUAGUGACGGUACUGGGUAAAGAAGCACCGGCUAACUACGUG